rnacentral:rRNA from 1 species
UACAGAGGGGGCAAGCGUUAUUCGGAAUUAUUGGGCGUAAAGGGCGCGUAGGCGGCCUAGCAAGCGACGGGUGAAAUCCCUCGGCUUAACCGAGGAACUGCCUGUCGAACUGCUUGGCUCGAGACCGGGAGAGGUAAGUGGAAUUCCCAGUGUAGCGGUGAAAUGCGUAGAUAUUGGGAGGAACACCAGUGGCGAAGGCGACUUACUGGACCGGAACUGACGCUGAGGCGCGAAAGCGUGGGUAGCAAACAGG